CAGCCGUAAACUAUGCGCGUUAGGUGUACUGGUGACCACGAGUCACCGGGGUGCCGAAGGGAAACCGUGAAACGUGCCGCCUGGGAAGUACGGUCGCAAGGCUGAAACUUAAAGGAAUUGGCGGGGGAGCACCACAACAGGUGGAGCCUGCGGUUUAAUUGGACUCAACGCCGGGAAGCUCACCGGAUAGGACAGCAGAAUGAUUGCCGGGCUGAAGACCCUGCAUGACUAGCUGAGAGGAGGUGCAUGGCGUAGACGUCU
rnacentral:rRNA from 1 species